rnacentral:rRNA from 1 species
GAUGAACGCUGGCGGUGUGCCUAAUACAUGCAAGUCGAGCGAACAGACGAGGAGCUUACUCCUCUGACGUUAGCGGCGGACGGGUGAGUAACACGUGGAUAACCUACCUAUAAGACUGGGACAACUUCGGGAAACCGGAGCUAAUACCGGAUAACAUGUUGAACCGCAUGGUUCAACAGUGAAAGACGGUCUUGCUGUCACUUAUAGAUGGAUCCGCGUCGCAUUAGCUAGUUGGUAAGGUAACGGCUUACCAAGGCAACGAUGCGUAGCCGACCUGAGAGGGUGAUCGGCCACACUGGAACUGAGACACGGUCCAGACUCCUACGGGAGGCAGCAGUAGGGAAUCUUCCGCAAUGGGCGAAAGCCUGACGGAGCAACGCCGCGUGAGUGAAGAAGGUCUUCGGAUCGUAAAACUCUGUUAUUAGGGAAGAACAAAUGUGUAAGUAACUAUGCACGUCUUGACGGUACCUAAUCAGAAAGCCACGGCUAACUACGUG